rnacentral:rRNA from 1 species
GUUGUAUGGUUAAGUGACUAAGCGUACACGGUGGAUGCCUUGGCAGUCAGAGGCGAUGAAAGACGUAGUAACUUGCGAUAAGCCCAGAUUAGGUAGUAACAACCAUUUGAGUCUGGGAUUUCUGAAUGGGGAAACCCACGUGCAUAAGCACGUAUCCUUACCUGAAUACAUAGGGUAAGGAGGCGAAG